AAAAAAUCGUGAAGUGCAGGUCAGCUGGCAGGACUUUCAGGAAUAAUUGCCUCCUGCAGUCCACGGCGGCUCCAUACCUCGGGCGCCCACAGAAUGCCACAGACGAGCAACAUGGAGGAGUGAAAAUAGUGAUUAGCCAACAUCCCACAGUAGGUCACAAGCAAAGGAGCCAAUGUAUGCACUUGUUUGUGUGCAUUGGAGGCGGGCGGCGAGAACCAGAAUAUUUGUCUCGGGCUACAAGCUAGUGAAUCUAUAUUUGAACUUGAAGACGCGUGUAUGUUUGUUGUAUAUUUGCAUGCUCGCAGUGGAGAAGCGAGGGUCACGACCUUAGAAGCAUUCCACCGCCCUGGAUCGUGUUUAUAUCCGAUGCCUCACAGUCACUCGACCCAAAAUGACAGCGACAGACGCAUCGUGAACAGCUGUGAGGUUGCGUCGGACUACACGGCGAAAAAAAGGCCUUUAGACUUUUGUUCACUCACGGGACACUUUAUUAGGUACACUAGCGGAGAUGUAAUGUAACAAUGUUGUGGGCCGUCACACACCUUCCACUUUGACACAAAAAACAUUCGGAUUUAUACAGAGGAAUAAUAAUAACUUCUUCACUUUUUUCUAAAUUGUUUAGUCCUUUUUUUUUUUUUUACUACUUACCUGGCUGGAACGGAUUAAUUGCAUUCCCAUUCAUUACUAUGGAAAGCAUUACUUUACAUUUUGAUUUGGUCACAGAAUGGAUUCACAACCCGAGAUUCUACUGUACAUCCAUGAUGAAAUACGUGAAACUGAUUAUUUUCUUAUUUUGGACACCCACAAGAUGGAGAGACACCCCACAUGUGAGGAACUGUUCAGAGAACUGUUGGAUGUUUGUUUUCAGCUGUUCUCUCCAAGCUUGUGUUCAUGUUGGGGCCCCGGCUGGCCGCCCCCCACUUGCGGGGGCUCUUCAGGAGUGUCCCACACACAUGUUUGGGGGUGCCGCCGUCGUCCGGGUCAGAACGCAAUGCCAUCAGUUCGAUCUCGUGCUUGGCGGCCGUCUCCAGAACCUGCUGCUUAUUGUAGAACAGGACAAAAUUGUUGAUGAUGGGAUGGAUGGGCAGGGCGAUGGCAAUGACGCCGCACAGAAAGCUGAUGGCGGCGUUACAGCGGCCCAAAGUAGUCUUGGGGUACACGUCGCCGUAACCCACUGUGGUCAUGGUGAUGACGGCCCACCAGAAGGACUGCGGGAUGCUGGUGAACAAGGUCUCCGGGUGGUGCUGCUCCACGGUGUAGCCCAGGGCCGAGAAGAGGAACACCCCCACGCCCAUGUACAUGAGGAGCAGGCCCAGCUCCUUCAGGCUGCUCUUCAGGGCGCUGGUGAGGGUCUGGAGUCCCGAGGAAUGGCGCGCCAACUUGAAGAUACGGGCGAUGCGCAUGAUGCGUAAAGCCUGCACCGCCUGCUGCACAUUGGCCAGCUCCAUCACGCCGGCGCCCAGCGAGGUGAGGAGGAGCACCACGAAGAAGGGCAUGAUGGCCAUGAAGUCCACCACGUUCAUGAAGGCCAGCGCAAAUUUGACUUUGUUCGGGGACGAGAGUAGACGCAGCACGUACUCGAUGGUGAACCAGCCGAUGCACACCGUCUCGAUCCACUGAAAAAAAAAAAAAACGAGUGUUAUUCAUCUAAAGAUGUGUUUUCCAGUUUCUAUUUUUUACGUUUCUUUUUUUUCACUGUGACCUCCAUGGUGGGGUUCUCCGUGAGUUUCCCCUCCUCGUCCUCCACCUGCAGGUCCGGUAUGGUGCUGACGCACAUGACCACGGAGGAGAUGAGGAUGAAGAUAAAGGAGAGGAUGGCGAUGAUGUGAGCGGCCAAAGACGACUCGGGCUUCUCCAUCAACCUCCACGUGCACGUCUGGAAGCGCUGCCAGCCACUGACGCUCGGGUCUCCAUCCCGGUCCACCAGGAUGGUCCUCACCUUCUCGGCGAUCUCCUCCAGCUCGUCCUCCACCUCCUGCAAGUGGCUCUUGCAGCACUCAUCCAGGGUCGUAAUCAUCACACAAGGAGGAGAUUUCCUCCGUAGGGACGGGUGACACCGAGUUCACCAGUUCGGCCAGUCGGGUCUCCGGAAAGCGGUCGAGAACGUCCCGGAAAAACACCUGUUUCAGCCCGCCGAUGUUCACCACAAUUUCGGGCUCCUCGCUGGCUCCGGAGCCGCUCCGGUACCGGCUCCUGUGGAUUCCCCACAUUGCGUUGCACUGGGGGGCGCCGAAAUUGUUGUCCAAG